UCCUGAGGAGGAGGAUGUGUGGCACUUCCCUCCCCGACUCUGCCGGGGGCUCUGCCCUGCUCUGUUGGGUUGCUGUCUUUCUCCUGGGAACAAGUGCAGCAAGUACUGGGGUUGUCCAGUCUCCAAGACACAUAAUCAAAGAAAAGGGAGGAAGGUCCAUUCUGAAGUGUAUUCCCAUCUCUGGACAUUAUAAUGUGCUCUGGUACCAACAGACUCAGGGGAGGGAACUGAAGUUCCUCAUUCAGCAUUAUGAAAAAAUGGAGAGAGAGAAAGGCAGCAUCCCCAACCGAUUCUCAGUGCAGCAGUUCAGUGACUAUCACUCUGAGAUGAACAUGAGUGCCUUGGAGCUGGAGGACUCUGCUGUGUACUUCUGUGCCAGCUCACCACAGCCAUGGGACCAGCAAACCUUUGGGUCAGGGAGGAGAAUGUCCUUUUUGAGUUGGUCAGAUCCUGUCCCCAGCUUUUCACAUGGAGCUCUGCUGACCCCCUUUCUCUUAACUUCUGCUUUUGAGUCAUUCCUCACCAUCACAGGGUUAUAG